GCCGGCCCGCCUAAGCAGCGGGCUGUAACCGUGCUUGCGGGGCAUGUGGGUGGAGGGAUUGGUGGCGUGCGUAGACGAGCGAGGGUUUAGGCCCACGCCGAAGGCCGCUGCCCCAUUCCAGAAGGAGACUCGACAUUGUGGCCCUCUCGGAGGGGAGGGCUUCAAGGUCGAUGAUGAGCGUCGCACCGCCUCAGGCUGGUUGACAGAGCAGGGAAAAGACGCCGGUCCCCUUGGUGGAGGGAUCACAGCCCUGAGUGGGUCCUCUCGGGAAGCUGCGUAUCGACUCCAACACCUCCACUUUU
rfam:Acanthamoeba castellanii str. Neff unplaced genomic scaffold scf7180000084645, whole genome shotgun sequence.